AUGGCUGAACCUCUGAUUUGCUCGUGGACGGUGUUUGGUAUUGACUGUGAUGAAGGAAUACAAAUAUUUUUUCAGGGUAAUGAUCAUAUUAAGGCCAUGAUGAGUACAAGGACUACUCGUGGAGUUUGCCUUGUUAAGGUAAAUUCAUCCUUCCCUUCAUGUGUAAUCAUAAGUUUUGUACAAACCUCUCUCUCUCUCUCUCUCUCUCUCUCUCUCAAACUUGGUGGAAAACUUGGGAUUCAAAGUCUUGAAAUUUGUUCAUGGUAACCUUGUCUGAUAUCAGAAAGGAUAAACAUGUCCUUUUCUACUGGUUUCUAAAGUUUUAAAUGAAAUAUUUCAGGUUGAGGUGUUUAACAUGCACAACAGUGGAGUGUGAAGCUAAAGUGGCCAUGUUGAAUGCUCCCUCAUUCUUCACCUCUUAUAUUCAUUUGAGUCAGAUUUUCACAAACUGA
rnacentral:lncRNA from 1 species